UAAGGCAGCCAUAACAUCUACUUU
rnacentral:siRNA from 1 species